GACGUAGGGCGCGAGCGUUGUCCGGAUUUAUUGGGCGUAAAGAGCUCGUAGGCGGUCUGUCACGUCGGCUGUGAAAACCCGAGGCUCAACCUCGGGCCUGCAUUCGAUACGGGCAGACUAGAGUUCGGUAGGGGAGACUGGAAUUCCUGGUGUAGCGGUGAAAUGCGCAGAUAUCAGGAGGAACACCGGUGGCGAAGGCGGGUCUCUGGGCCGAUACUGACGCUGAGGAGCGAAAGCGUGGGGAGCGAACAGG
rnacentral:rRNA from 1 species